ACUUAGUUAUACAACUGGCGGAAGUGGAAUUAACCACAUGGAGUAUAAUGGUAAGAGUCGACCGUCUGGGCAAUAGUC
rnacentral:ncRNA from 2 species